rnacentral:rRNA from 1 species
UACGUAGGGUCCGAGCGUUGUCCGGAAUUACUGGGCGUAAAGAGCUCGUAGGUGGUUUGUCGCGUUGUUCGUGAAAACUCACAGCUCAACUGUGGGCGUGCGGGCGAUACGGGCAGACUAGAGUACUGCAGGGGAGACUGGAAUUCCUGGUGUAGCGGUGAAAUGCGCAGAUAUCAGGAGGAACACCGGUGGCGAAGGCGGAUCUCUGGGCCUUACCUGACGCUCAGGUGCGAAAGCUAGGGGAGCGAACAGG